GACGAACGCUGGCGGCGUGCUUAACACAUGCAAGUCGAGCGGUAAGGCCCUUCGGGGUACACGAGUGGCGAACGGGUGAGUAACACGUGGGUGAUCUGCCCUGCACUUCGGGAUAAGCCUGGGAAACUGGGUCUAAUACCGGAUAGGACCACUGCCUGCAUGGGUGGUGGUGGAAAGCUUUUGCGGUGUGGGAUGGGCCCGCGGCCUAUCCGCUUGUUGGUGGGGUGAUGGCCUACCAAGGCGACGACGGGUAGCCGGCCUGAGAGGGUGACCGGCCACACUGGGACUGAGAUACGGCCCAGACUCCUACGGGAGGCAGCAGUGGGGAAUAUUGCACAAUGGGCGCAAGCCUGAUGCAGCGACGCCGCGUGAGGGAUGACGGCCUUCGGGUUGUAAACCUCUUUCAGCACCGACGAAGCGCAAGUGACGGUAGGUGCAGAAGAAGGACCGGCCAACUACGUGCCAGCAGCCGCGGUAA
rnacentral:rRNA from 1 species